rnacentral:rRNA from 1 species
CGUAGGUGGCAAGCGUUGUCCGGAUUUACUGGGCGUAAAGAGCGCGCAGGCGGUCGGAUAAGUCGAAUGUGAAAGCCCCCGGCUCAACUGGGGAGGGUCAUUCGAUACUGUUCGACUCGAAGGCAGGAGAGGGAAGCGGAAUUCCCGGUGUAGUGGUGAAAUGCGUAGAUAUCGGGAGGAACACCAGUGGCGAAGGCGGCUUCCUGGCCUGUUCUUGACGCUGAGGCGCGAAAGCUAGGGGAGCAAACGGGAUUAGAUACCCCGGUAGUCCUAGCUGUAAACGAUGGACACUAGGUGUUGGUGGUAUCAACCCCGCCAGUGCCGUAGCUAACGCAUUAAGUGUCCCGCCUGGGGAGUACGGCCGCAAGGCUA